rnacentral:rRNA from 1 species
GACGAACGCUGGCGGCGUGCUUAACACAUGCAAGUCGAACGGAAAGGCCCUGCUUUUGUGGGGUGCUCGAGUGGCGAACGGGUGAGUAACACGUGAGUAACCUGCCCUUGACUUUGGGAUAACUUCAGGAAACUGGGGCUAAUACCGGAUAGGAGCGCCUGCUGCAUGGUGGGGGUUGGAAAGUUUCGGCGGUUGGGGAUGGACUCGCGGCUUAUCAGCUUGUUGGUGGGGUAGUGGCUUACCAAGGCUUUGACGGGUCGCCGGCCUGAGAGGGUGACCGGCGACAUUGGGACUGAGAUACGGACCAGACUCCUACGGGAGGCAGCAGUGGGGAAUAUUGCACAAUGGGCGGAAGCCUGAUGCAGCAACGCCGCGUGCGGGAUGACGGCCUUCGGGUUGUAAACCGCUUUCGCCUGUGACGAAGCGUGAGUGACGGUAAUGGGUAAAGAAGCACCGGCUAACUACGUG